AAGUAAAAUUUAAAAAGUAAAUAUAAAGAAACAUAUUAAUGUAUAGAAAACAUAACAAAACCCUAAAACAGUUUAACUAUAAAUUUGCAAGGAAAUUGCAAUGGUUUCCUCGCAAAUCUAUUGCAAAUUUGCAAGGGAUUAAGCUCCAUCACAAUUUGCGAGGGAUUUGCGAGGGAUCCGUUGCAAUUCCCUUGCAAAUCUGGUUUCCCCAAAAUAAAAAAAAAAAGAAAAGAGGAGAAGAGUUUCCAGAACUAGGGUUCGUAUAUAAUUACAUAAACCUAAUGCUCUUCAUUUGUUCGAGCUGUCAAGAAAAAAAACCAAUUUUUUUUUAAUCUUUUCUCUCCUCUCGCUGGACCUCUCUCUCUCGCUCUCCCGUGUUUGCUCUCUCAUUCUUACCUCCAUGGCUCCUCUCCGACCACACCGCCAGAUCUCUACUCGUCGCCGGCUCUCCUCUCUUCUCACACCGCCGGAUCUCCUCUUUCUUUCUCACGCCGGCUCACCUCUCUCUGUCUUUCACACCAAUGAACGUUACUCCACAAAGCUCUUGCUCAGCGUCCCACCACCACCACGGAAUGUAGAAGCAAGGCAAGACAAGGCACACCACGGUUAGAUUUGAUUUCUUUCAUUUGGUAAAGGAAGUUGAAGGAUGGAGAAGAAGCUUGAUGGUUGAGGAGACCAGGGAAGCCGUGGUCGCAGGGGUGGUGGUGCGGCUGGUGGUGCGGCGAAGGAGGCCAGAAGUGGAGGAGUCAUGGAGGUGGCUCUUUCAUUUUAGGGUUCGAGAUUCUUUAAUCCGGUUUAAUCAACUAAACUGGUUUAAUUAACUAAACCGGCUUGUUGUAAAUUAACUUUUGUUUUAAGAUUUUUAUUCAUGUAUUUACAUUUAUCUAAAUGUAUCAGUUUAAUAUAUAUUAUAUAAUUUAUUUGUAA